AAAGUCCAGGUGGAGAGGUGGCGCCGCUGUGGCCUGCUGAUGGGGGCACAGACUGGAGCUGCCUCUUUGGAGUAUGGCUUGAAAGUUGUUUAACAAGUCAGAAUGCAUUUCCACAGGAUUCGUAAGAUCCACCAUUGGAGAUUUACUGCAGACAGCUGCAAUCCCAUGCACAUAUAUAAUCCUCGGUAUGAACACCUAUCGCAAUUCUUUGCACAAUUUCUCAAGAUGGAAUGAGCCAAUGAGUCCUUCAGCGGAAGAGUGAAAAACAGAACUUUAAAAAAAAACAAACUUCUAAACAAAGAUGUGAAUGACAGCCCUGGUGCCAAGCCAUUGUGUGCAGAGGUGAACACGUCUGAAGCCAUUGUGUGCAGAGGUGAACACGUCUGAAGCCAUUGUGUGCAGAGACGAAUCUAUUCCUGUCCCACUGGUAUUUCCAGCAUGUGCCAGGAAACGACUUUGUAGUCUCAGGAAACCCUAUUGAGUGGACACUGACAUGAAGGAACUCAGCUGAUUUUUGUUCCAGUGUUUUGUACCAGCUAACCAAGGCAUCUGGGAAUCCACUUAUGACAGAGAACAAAGUCCUCGUCAUACCCGGUGAAGGCCAGGCUCCAAGUACAGCUUUAUCCUUGUAUAUCUUCAUAGAGCUAACCCACCAGAGGAUCUCAUUGGUCUCUGGCUGUCGGAUUACUGCAGAGAAGGCAACGGUCUCCACGACAGACGCAGAUGGUGCUCUCUACUGUGGGAAACAGCAAUUACCAAGAAGCUGGAGAAGCCUGGUGAUAAGGGAAGUGCCCAGUUCUGUGGAAGUGUGCGGUAUUUACAGAUCAGCAGAGUCCCACUGCUGGAGGAGACUGCCAGCAAGUCACAUAGGCACAGUCGUGGCUGCAGUCAUCACUGCUUCGAGGAUCUCUUAGAACAGGAGAAUGUUUAUUCAGUAUUUCAUAGUUGACAUGCAGUAAAUCCCCUCUACGUGUUUCACUUCUGACUCAAAACUUGUGAGCCAGGCGAGUCACACAGACAAGCACCGAACAGAUCCUCCCAGAAGACGCAGCGGAUCAGCAGUGCAUCACUAACCAUCGCAGCAUGUGUGCAAAUGCAUCUAAAGAGAGAACACCAUGAUCCUUGACCACAGCCCAAAGCAACACGGGGCAGCUACGAAGCUGGAACCAACUCGUCCCUGUGUCAUGGAAAUGCCAUGCUUCCCCCUAGGGUCCCAGAUCCUAAAAUAAGCAGAGAACAAAAAUUAAUCUUAAAAUUUAGAAUAUAUGUUUCUGGUGAAACAAUAUCUUGCCUUGCUUUAUAAAAGUAGAUGCAGAAUACUCUUUGUGACUUUGCAGUGGGCCACAUUAGUAGUUCAAAUGUAGUUGCAUUUCCAGAGAAUGCAAGUCAUGCUUUAAGCACUGGAAAUACUCUACAGUGCUUCAGCCUAACAGCGUAAGACUAUAUGGUGGCAUGUCUUCUGUCAAAGAAGGAAAGCAGGCACAUGAAUAAACUUACCUGAUGUACUUGAUUCACGCUAGACAAUACCACAAUGUUCUCUGGACUCUGUCUUAGCUGGAGAUCUGGGGCCAGGUAUUAAUACUCCCAGUUUCUUUGUGACUGAAACGGGGCAGGUAAAGCUGUCUUAAGUGAUGAAAGGAAAUGCAUCACAUGAUGAGAAUCUAAUGAUGUCAGGGGUAGAUGGUAGCAAGGGCUCUCAGUGUGAGUAAAGAAAGAUGUGGGCCGGAGAGACGACUGUCUUCUGCUUGUAUCUCGAACCUUACCUUGCCAGGUGGACGGUGUCCUGCUCCAACUCCAAAGUCAAAUAAACCCUUCCUUGCUUUA